AUUGAACGCUGGCGGCAGGCCUAACACAUGCAAGUCGAGCGAGCGGCGGACGGGUGAGUAAUGUCUGGGAAACUGCCUGAUGGAGGGGGAUAACUACUGGAAACGGUAGCUAAUACCGCAUACCAUCUGAUGUGCCCAGAUGGGAUUAGCUCGUAGGUGGGGUAACGGCUCACCUAGGCGACGAUCCCUAGCUGGUCUGAGAGGAUGACCAGCCACACUGAAACGGAGACAGGGUCCAGACUCCUAGGGGAGGCAGGAGGGGGGAAUAUUGCAAACUGGGAGAAAGACUGAGGCAGCCAUGCCGGGUGUGUGAAGAGGGCCUGCGGGUUGUAAAGCAGUUUCAGCGGGGAGGCGUUACCCGCAGAAGAAGCACCGGAUAACUCCGUGCCAGCAGCCGCGGAAAUU
rnacentral:rRNA from 1 species